UGGUGCUUAUGUUGAUCCUGCUGUUGGAGCUGGUAUUGGUUAUGUUGACCCUGUCACUCUUACCGCUGGAAAUGGUGGUGCUUAUGUUGAUCCUGCUGUUGGAGCUGGUACUGGUUAUGUUGACCCUGUCACUCUUACCGCUGGAAAUGGUGGUGCUUAUGUUGACCCUGCUGCCACCCUUACUGCAACUACGUACGUUGGCCCACAAAACAAUGCAGCUACCGGUGGUGCUUUUGUUGAUCCUGUUGCCACUCUUUCUGCUGGGGCUGGGACUACGUCCUACGCUGGCUCACAAAACAAUGUAGCUUCCGGUGGUGCUUAUGUUGAUCCUGCUGCCACUCAAUAUGCUGGGGCUCCAGGUUCUACGUCAUAUGUUGACCCAGUACCUGCAGGCUCUGCUGCUACCUCCUAUACUACAGUGAAUAAUGCCGGCCAAGUAGUAAAUACCAAUCUCCAUUCAG